rnacentral:rRNA from 1 species
GUGGGGAAUAUUGGGCAAUGGGGGCAACCCUGACCCAGCGACGCCGCGUGAGGGAAGAAGGCCUUAGGGUCGUAAACCUCUGUUGUGUGGGAAGAAGGAAGUGACGGUACCACACGAGGAAGUCCCGGCUAACUACGUGCCAGCAGCCGCGGUAAUACGUAGGGGACGAGCGUUGUCCGGAAUUACUGGGCGUAAAGGGCGCGUAGGCGAUCAUUUAAGUCAGCUGUGAAAUGGUCCGGCUCAACCGGAUCAUGCGGUUGAAACUGGAUGACUGGAGUGCUGGAGAGGCAAGUGGAAUUCCCAGUGUAGCGGUGAAAUGCGUAGAUAUUGGGAAGAACACCGGUGGCGAAGGCGACUUGCUGGCCAGCAACUGACGCUGAGGCGCGAAAGCCAGGGGAGCAAACGGGAUUAGAAACCCGAGUAGUCC